CUUGUACAGGGAACAAGAUUGACAACAGUCAGUCAACGCGGACUGCUUUAACAAAUUACCAUAGACUGAGGGGCCUAAACUGCAAACAUUUAUUUCUCACAGUUCUGGAGGCUGGCAAGCCCAAGAUCAGGGUGCCAGCAGUUUCAGUGUCUGUUGAAGACGGUCUUUUUGAUUUGCACAUGGCCUCCUUCUGUAUCCUCACGUGGCAGAGAGAGAUCAUCGUCUUCUGAUCAGAUCUUCUGAUCACACAUUGGAGAUUAGAGCUUCAACAUGUGACUUUGGUGGGCGGAGGGAUCAACAUUAAUAGCAACAGGCUCCUCCAUACCUCUCCAGCUGAAUUGUCCAUCUCUUCCUGAAGAAGACCUACUUCAUAGGCCAGGAAUUUCAAACAUGUAUGACCAUGCUCAUUUCUA